AUGGGGCUUCGGAGCUCUUUCGUCCCCAGGUGGGGGACACCCGCGUCGUGCCUGCGAAAGGGCUGUGGGCAGGGUGCGGGGCGCCAGGAAAAGCCAAGGCCGAAGAUGCGGAGAGCACCUGGCCGAGAGUCCUCCUGCGCUUCGGCCUCAGAAGCUCGGAGACGGCCUUUGGGGAGGGGAGAAGCCCCCAGCCCAGGGUCAACGUGCAAGCUCUGGUCCUGUCCCCGGCCCGCAGGAAUCAGGGCCUGGAGAAACGGGAGCCCCUCACACUGGGGGGACGCCAGAUGGAGAAGUCGGAGAGCGCCGGGAAGGAGGAAACUGGUGGGCUCCAGCGCCCUGGACGCCCCCCGGCUCCGGGGCUGCUCCAAGCCCGGAAAGUUUGCGCGCGGCAGGCGCGGCGCGCCCCCUCCCCGCGCCCGGGGGCCGGGUCCGCAGGCGCCCACCCCGCGCCCCGCCCGCCGCCCAGGCCGGCUCAAGGUCACCGCUGACGAGGCGCCUGCCUCCGCGGGGCGAGGGACCCAGGACGCGCUCCGCCCCGGGCUGGGCUCUGGCCGGCAGCGGGCCCCGGGGCCGAGCGCCUAUUUAAGGGGAACCGCAGGAAGGGAGCUGGCGACCGAGGGAGAGGGGAGGAGGCCCAGAGCCCGGCCCGCCGCCCCGCCUCACCUGCGCCGGCUCCGCGAGCGAGAUGCUGCCGCCGCCGCCACUGCCACUGGUGCGCGCCCGCCCGGCCGCCCGGCCCCGCUGCGGCUGCGGCUCCGGCUCCUCCGCCGCGGCUGCCCCGCUCGCCUCGCCCGCGGCCCCGCCACCGCCCGCCGGCCUCCCUCCCUCUGCCGCCGCCGCUGCCACCGCUGCACUGCGCUCUGCCCGCCUCCCUCUCUCCACCCUCCCUCCCCCGUCCCCUCCCCCUCCCUCCUCCCCCCCCCCUCCCCCUCGGCCCUCCCCAAACUCCGCGCCCAGAGCGCCCUGCGGGACCGGAGCGCGCCGUCCCGCCCGCGCCCUCCUCCGCGCGCACGUGCGGGCGGCCGCGGAGGGUCUCCGGCCUCUCCCGGACGCCAUCUCCAGGUGCCUCCGUCAGCAGCAGCCCUUACCCGACCCCGGCUCCACCGUCAGCCUGGCCCGUGGAGGCACCCCUGCCCACCCUUGCUCCUGGGGGAGGGCGCCCCGAGCCUCCCCAGCACAACUGGCACCUGCGGCUGGGGUCACCCAGUGUGA
rnacentral:lncRNA from 1 species